GUGAACGCUGGCGGUAGGCCUAACACAUGCCAGUCGAACGGCAGCACCGUAAGAGCUUGCUCUUACGGGUGGCGAGUGGCGGACGGGUGAGGAAUACAUCGGAAUCUACUUUUUCGUGGGGGAUAACGUAGGGAAACUUACGCUAAUACCGCAUACGACCUACGGGUGAAAGCAGGGGAUCUUCGGACCUUGCGCGAUUGAAUGAGCCGAUGUCGGAUUAGCUAGUUGGCGGGGUAAAGGCCCACCAAGGCGACGAUCCGUAGCUGGUCUGAGAGGUUGAUCAGCCACACUGGAACUGAGACACGGUCCAGACUCCUACGGGAGGCAGCAGUGGGGAAUAUUGGACAAUGGGCGCAAGCCUGAUCCAGCCAUACCGCGUGGGUGAAGAAGGCCUUCGGGUUGUAAAGCCCUUUUGUUGGGAAAGAAAAGCAGCAGGUUAAUACCCCGCUGUUCUGACGGUACCCAAAGAAUAAGCACCGGCUAACUUCGUG
rnacentral:rRNA from 1 species